rnacentral:rRNA from 1 species
GGGUUGUGAGGUUAAGCGACUAAGCGUACACGGUGGAUGCCCUGGCAGUCAGAGGCGAUGAAGGGCGUGCUAAUCUGCGAUAAGCGCCGGUAAGGUGAUAUGAACCGUUAUAACCGGCGAUACCCGAAUGGGGAAACCCAGUGUGAUUCGUCACACUAUCAUUAACUGAAUCCAUAGGUUAAUGAGGCGAACCGGGGGAACUGAAACAUCUAAGUACCCCGAGGAAAAGAAAUCAACCGAGAUUCCCCCAGUAGCGGCGAGCGAACGGGGAGGAGCCCAGAGCCUGAAUCAGCAUGUGUGUUAGUGGAAGCGUCUGGAAAGGCGCGCGAUACAGGGUGACAGCCCCGUACACAAAAGCGCAUGUGCUGUGAGCUCGAUGAGUAGGGCGGGACACGUGGUAUCCUGUCUGAAUAUGGGGGGACCAUCCUCCAAGGCUAAAUACUCCUGACUGACCGAUAGUGAACCAGUACCGUGAGGGAAAGGCGAAAAGAACCCCGGCGAGGGGAGUGAAAAAGAACCUGAAACCGUGUACGUACAAGCAGUGGGAGCACAGGUUUACCUGUGUGACUGCGUACCUUUUGUAUAAUGGGUCAGCGACUUAUAUUCUGUAGCAAGGUUAACCGUAUAGGGGAGCCGGAGGGAAACCGAGUCUUAAUUGGGCGUUAAGUUGCAGGGUAUAGACCCGAAACCCGGUGAUCUAGCCAUGGGCAGGUUGA